rnacentral:lncRNA from 1 species
UUGCAGACUCCCAGGUGGUUACAUAAGGAAAAGAAGCAAUAUUUCCCUACAAGAAGGAGGAGAAUUAAAGAAUGCCAGACAGAGGGUACCAUAACCAGGACCCUCUUGUUCCACCUUCUUGAAUUUGACAAGCUAGCAUUAGUCGGACCUUAAAAGAAGUGGGGGUGCCACCCAGUACCACCCGGCAAACUGUCGGGUUAGCAGAGCUACCCCACCAGUAAGCCUUGGCCCUUGGUAAUCCCCCAAUUCAAUGACCUCACAACAGGGGUUGAGAGCUCACAGAGAUCCCGCUGCUACAAACCCCUGAACAUAUUUUGUGUGUCUCAACUGCAGUAACAAGGGGCCCAGCAAAAUGAGGAAGCAGCUUGGUCAAGAUUUGGGAACCACUCCUACUAUUUAUUCACUGAAGCUCAGACUCAGGACUAAAGCCCAUGGAGUCCUCUUACCAGAAACUCUGAAUGUGGCUAAAAUUAAGAGUGUAUGCAGAGGGAGAAGUUGUGUGAGGUGUUGCUGGAAGAGAAGCGUUGUUCAGGUAACCCCUGCUGACCUGUAG